rnacentral:lncRNA from 1 species
AUAGUCCUAGCAGAAAUACCAGUGUCAUUAAGAUUAAAGCGCUUUGUCAUUUCAUCUUGCCGUGGCCACAAUAAUGGCGUCAUUUCCGGAGCAGAGGCAGAUGUCCUCCGAUCAUCAUAGCCAACACCGCUAACCUGUGAGCUAGGAGGUGAAACUUUAGCAACAUUUCUUUUUGCCAUCCUCCGAUCAUCAUAGCCAACACCACUAACUUGUGAGCUAGGAGGUGAGACUUUAGCAACAUUUCUUUUUGCAAGAGCCACCUCCUUUCCUCCUUCUUUAAGAGCAGCUAAUGCAGCAUUAUAUGUUUCUUGAGCUACAGCCCCUUCUUCAGCGUAUCUUAUGGCUUCCCUGCAGAGACUGUUGUAUUUCUGUGCCAUUGAUUCAGUACCAUGUAGUUGUACAUGUUCAUCUGAUUCAGCACGGCAUUUUGCAUUUAUUGUCCACCGCUUCAAUAUGUAAUGAGAUGGCAAUGUAAGAACAUUAGUUACUGUAAAAACUGUAAGAAUAUGCCUACAGAGGAUACCACUACAUUCAAACAUCUGGCAACUACAAUUUGCUUUCAGUUCAGAUAUAUUCAGCGAGACAAUG